UGGGCCUGGAAUGAUUUGCGGAGCAGUUUUUCCCUCAAGAGACUCUCUAAGGGGAGUUGGGGAUGGGGAAAGUUGCUGCAGGUUAAUUGUGAAGCGGUUCCAAGAAUUACAAUUGGCAUGCAGGCAGAAGGGGACUGUGCAUUAGAGAGCAAUGGCACAAAAGCCUGACCAGGUGGAGAAGAAAUGGGGUUACCUUUCUAGGUUCCUGAUCUUGAGAGACAUGGAAAAUGGAUCCUGCAAAUUGUUGGUGGAUACAGAGCCAGAGAUCAAGAUGCUAGAGAGAACCUGGAUUUAGGAAUCCUGAUGCAAUAUGAGUCUCUAUCAGAGACUAAUUAAAAUCUCUGGAGUGAUUCAUUCAAAUUUGAAACAAUGGCUGUUUGAAGUAGACGUUUGAGUACUGUUGGAUAAUUUUAAUAGUGAAUAACUCAAAUCCUCAGAAAAUAAAAAUUGGUUAGAAGAAUGAGCUUA